rnacentral:rRNA from 1 species
AUUGAACGCUGGCGGCAGGCCUAACACAUGCAAGUCGAACGAGUGGCGGACGGGUGAGUAAUGUCAGGGAAACUGCCCGAUGGAGGGGGAGAACUACUGGAAACGGUAGCUAAUACCGCAUACCAUCGGAUCUGCCCAGAUGGGAUUAGCUUGUAGGUGAGGUAACGGCUCACCUAGGCGACGGUCCCUAGCUGGUCUGAGAGGAUGAUCAGCAAAACGGGAACUGAGACACGGUCCAGACUCCUACGGGAGGCAGCAGUGGGGAAUAUUGGACAAUGGGCGAAAGCCUGAUGCAGCCAUGCCGCGUGUGUGAAGAAGGCCUUCGGGUUGUAAAGUACUUUCAGCGGGGAGGCGUUACCCGCAGAAGAAGCACCGGCUAACUCCGUGCCAGCAGCCGCGGUAAUUC